UAACGUCUUAUGAAGAGAAAAGUAGCACAAGUUAGGUAAAAGAGAAUCAGUGGAUGGUGUAAACUGAUACCAAUACUUUUGUGAAUCCACCUUGGAGGAUUAUUAUGAUGAAUAAUACGGGAAACCGUUAAGUUAAAUGAGAGGAUUAUAUUUAUAUUUUAUAUAGUCAAUAAGGGUGGCAACGCGAACCAAUCGUCCCUAUG
rnacentral:ncRNA from 1 species